ACUCCUACCCUUCUGUGACCUACCUAUCGUUGCUUCGGCGGACUCGCCCCAGCCCGGACGCGGACUGGACCAGCGGCCCGCCGGGGACCUCAAACUCUUGUAUUCCAGCAUCUUCUGAAUACGCCGCAAGGCAAAACAAAUGAAUCAAAACUUUCAACAACGGAUCUCUUGGCUCUGGCAUCGAUGAAGAACGCAGCGAAAUGCGAUAAGUAAUGUGAAUUGCAGAAUCCAGUGAAUCAUCGAUCUUUGAACGCACAUUGCGCCCGCCAGCAUUCUGGCGGGCAUGCCUGUUCGAGCGUCAUUUCAACCCCGACCUCCCCUGGGGGAGGUCGGCGUUGGGGACCGGCAGCACACCGCCGGCCCUGAAAUGGAGUGGCGGCCCGUCCGCGGCGACCUCUGCGUAGUAAUACAGCUCGCACCGGAACCCCGACGCGGCCACGCCGUAAAACACCCAACUUCUGAACGUUGACCUCGAAUCAGGUAGGACUACCCGCUGAACUUAAGCAUAUCA
rnacentral:rRNA from 1 species